rnacentral:rRNA from 1 species
CAGCCGCCGCGGUAAUACGUAGGGUGCGAGCGUUAAUCGGAAUUACUGGGCGUAAAGCGUGCGCAGGCGGUUGUGUAAGACAGGUGUGAAAUCCCCGGGCUUAACCUGGGGACUGCGCUUGUGACUGCACAGCUAGAGUAUGGCAGAGGGGGGUGGAAUUCCACGUGUAGCAGUGAAAUGCGUAGAGAUGUGGAGGAACACCGAUGGCGAAGGCAGCCCCCUGGGCCAAUACUGACGCUCAUGCACGAAAGCGUGGGGAGCAAACAGGAUUAGAUACCCGUGUAGUCCCUGUCUCUUAUAC